rnacentral:siRNA from 1 species
ACAGGGACAGUCGGGGGCA